rnacentral:rRNA from 1 species
UACCAGCACCCCGAGUGUUCGGGGCGAUUAUUGGGCCUAAAGCAUCCGUAGCCGGUCCUACAAGUCUUCCGUUAAAUCCACCUGCUUAACAGAUGGGCUGCGGAAGAUACUAUAGGGCUAGGAGGCGGGAGAGGCAAGCGGUACUCAGUGGGUAGGGGUAAAAUCCUCUGAUCCCUUGAAGACCACCAGUGGCGAAGGCGGCUUGCCAGAACGCGCUCGACGGUGAGGGAUGAAAGCUGGGGGAGCAAACCGG